AUAGAGAAAAAUACUCCCACCGUGGGCCCAGGUGGCCACGGAAGUCUAUAGGGGUGCUUAGAUACCAAGCGCAUUCAACCUCCCCACUUCUAGCCAGAGAUGGGAUCUCGUUACGCUGCUCAGCCUGACCUCAAACUCCUGGCCUCAAGCAAUCCUCUGGCCUCAGCCUCUCAAAUUGCUGGGAUUAUAAUCCUGAGCCACUGCACCAGGCCUAUUCAGAAUUCUAAUAUGCAACUGAUUCUUAAUGAUAACCAAGAAAUAAAGACUUAGAGCUCAAAUUGUGCCCCUGAGGCCUGCGAUUCUUGAGAACCGUGCUUCCUCCUCCCUUUCUUCCAUUUGGAAUUGCGUUAAGCACAGAGACCCGAGGAGCCCGGACACAGCACAGGAUGCUGGUGUAAGAAGCCAAACCCUGCGUCCAAACACAGGGACGCCUCACCAGCUGGUAGGGCUUCAGUGCACGCAGAGGAAGCCAAAGGACUGGCAAGGUGCACAGAUGAGGUGGGAGGACCAGAGCCCUCCAUCCCCAAACAGGGAGCACUCUACUGGCUCCACUCUACUAGACCAGCAGGGAGACGGAGGAAGCAUUUACUCCCUGGCUUCCUUCUAUGGACCACCCACUGGGCAUAACCUCCUCCCCUAAGGGUGGGGUGUGCAUGAGUGUGUUCCAAGUGCCAUCGCCCAGGCAGGUGCAAGGACAUGUGAAACUGGAGGCGAGAGCCUGGCAGGCUGUACCUGGUGUGGCUGAAAGGAGAUAGGGAAGGAUGCCAGGCAGUCCUUAAGGGGACCUGGGGAAGCUUCAUCUUCAACCCCAGACAAGGGUCAUUCACCUGAAAUGCCAGGACCAGGAAGUCCUGCCGGCUGCAGGCACAGCAUGUCCAACGUGAUUGGAAAUCACUUCCUGCUGUUCAUGUCCUCUUGGAAGGUCAGGUGGCCACUGCAACAAGACUUCUGCAUUCUGCCAAAUGAAUGACUGCACCUGACCCGUGACUCAUGACUCAACUAGUCCUGUGGACCCUGCCUUGAGGUGGACUCAGUGCACCAGGACCAUUUUCCACACCCCUACGAUUUCCUCCCCAGCCAAUCAGCAGCACUCAUUCCCUAGCCUGCUGUUCACCAAAUUAGCCAUGAAACCCCUACCUAGACUAGCCUCUGAGUUCUGAGAGAGGCUGAUUUGAGUAAUAAAGUAAUAAACUCCUGUUCUGCUUGGCUAGCCCUGUUUAUUAAACUUGUUCUCUA